rnacentral:RNase_P_RNA from 2 species
UCAGCAUGCUCUAGACUGGUGCACCAUGCAAAUGAGAAAUUCGGAGGAAUCUUCACACUUCAACCCGCUUUUUCUUUUUACCCCCCGCCGCCGAAAAUUCGUUUUUGGUUGGCCCCGGGGUUUAAAAAGUCGGUACUGCCUGUGAGGGCCUGGCAUGAAAAUGCCUGCAACUAGGCAUCAGAAACAUCGGGGCAGGAAGGGAUCUCUGAUCCUCUUUUCUGGUUUCCCCAUGGGAGAGCCGUUGCGAAGAUUGUGUGUGCUCGCUUUUCUUCCUUUUUCGAAGGGGGGAUUGCGAGUAUGACACUUUAGUGCAAUACGCAGCGUACUGUGUUUUUUCUUCUUCAAAGAGGAGAAGCCGGUAUCAUUCGAUUCCGAUUACUCUGGUGA